AAUUGAAUUCUGUUUAUCCAUUUUUUUUUCAAUUUCACUGUAGCUUUAAUUUUCUCUCUCCGCGCCCGUUUAAUCAAUCGAUCAAUUUAGGGUUUUUCCGAUUCGUCACCUAGUCGACUCAGCCAUGAUUUCCGAUUCGAUCCCCAACGCGUCUGUCGCCCUCGCCUCAUCCAACCCCAAGGAUUUGCCCAAGAAGAAAAAGGCCAAUCGGUCGGCGAAGUUGAAGCAGUGCAAGCUUGAUGCUCGUCGGGAACAGUGGCUUUCUCAAGUGAAGGGUAAGGGUGGGUGUAAGGAGGAGGUGAAUGGUGAAGGGGGUCUGAUGAAGUUGGAAAACAAGAACAUGCCUAUUGAGAAGCUGGAGAAAAGUCCAAGGCGAGAGGAUGGAAUAUAUAUAGAUGCAUUAUCCGUUCAUCAUUUUAGUGAUUUCGAAUCCUCGCCUGCCAACAGCCCCACCAGUAGUGCAUUAGGCGGAAAUGAUUCUGGCGUCAAUUUUACUUCCAGUAGCCGAAGCAGCAGCAGCAGUGGUCGCAGCAGCAGCUGUAGCACUAAUGGUUGCUUUUCGGGUAUCAUGAGUGAGGAAGAUGAAGGGAAUGGUGGUGAUGAUGGCUGCUUGGAUGAUUGGGAGGCUAUGGCUGAUGCUUUGGCUGCUAUGGAAGACAAGCAUUUGGGUCAUAAUCCCAGCUCGGGAUAUGGAUUACCUGUGGAGAAGCAUGGAAAUACUGCGGUAUGUGGUUCUGGGGUGAAUUUGGCAAAGCAGCCUUUUUGUGAGAAUGAUAAUCCAAGAGAGAAGCAAGAGAGUGACAGGACAUCUGUGCGGAUAUCUCAAGCAAAAUGCCAGGCUUGGAGGCCUGAUGAUACAUUUAGGCCUCAGAGUUUACCCAAUCUGUCAAAGCAAUAUUGUAGUGGGUUAAAUUCAGAUCGGCAUUUUGGUCUAGGAGGUUCCGUUUGGGGCUGUAAGAAUGUCGGGCCAGUCCCUACAUCAUGUCCGAUAUGCUAUGAGGAUUUUGAUUUCACAGAUUCAAGCUUUGUCCCCUGUCUCUGUGGAUUCAGGCUCUGCCUUUUCUGUCACAAGAGAAUUCUUGAGGAAGAUGGGCGUUGUCCUGGCUGCAGGAAGCAGUAUGAGUGCAGCCCUGUUGAAGGAGAGGCCACAUUGGAUGGUGGGAGCUUGACUUUUCGACUUAAUCGUACCUGUAGCAUGACAACAAGAUCCUAGAAAGAGUCUCCGUUCCUUGAUCUGCUAGCAUGCAACCAUUGAGUUGGUGGAUUUGGCUCUUGAUGUAGUGAAAUGACAGCAGUGAAAGUCCCAGUAAUUACAAUAAGUGAUGACUCAAACAGUCGAAUUUGCUUUGGCUGAACUGAAGGCAGAAGAAGAGCAUCUGCAACACCGCGUCCGGGUUGUCAACCACAACAAGCUUCCCGUUCCCUGGACAGAAGACGAAUGUCCCGAAAGGCCGAUAAGGGCUGAGCUCAACUAUGCUCGCAACAGUCUCCAGCAGCAAACUGGUGCACCCCUUGAGGUUGCAUGCGGCAUGGCUUGCCACAGACAGCACGUUUUUCAUUACUGACAGCAGGAAACCUGAUGCUGCAGACGAGUCCUGCAGAUGGAACUGUGAUCUCGGGUUGAGAGACUCGAGAACGGCGUGCAGCCAUGGCUGGAUGUUCGAGAGAGGAGCCAGGUUUAUCCUUGGCACAACAUCAUGCCUCAUCACGAAGUGGAAGAAGCAACGGGACCAGUUCUCGCGCUUCAGAGCAUGACAGAAGACAUGGUUUCCGGGUAGAGGUGAUCCAAAAGUUACACAGAGAGGCAUUGUCUGAGAAUGGUUGGAUCUUAUGUAUUUCUCAAAGCACCAAAUGGCUGCGAGAAUGGCCGUUGCACCCCCUGAGGAAUGCCCCGCGAAGACGACCUGCUUCCUCUCAGACAUAGCUUUCUCCACCUGAGAUCCAUUUUUGAGUUCAAAGACAGUUCAAUCACUAAAUAGACUAUGUUUAUAUUGAAGCUCU